rnacentral:SRP_RNA from 1 species
GAAUUGGGUCCUACGCAACAGAAACUCAUGAACCCCGUCAGGUCCGGAAGGAAGCAGCGGUAAGUGAUCAUUUUUGUGUGCCGUAGGGAAACCUGGUUUGAGU